AUAUCACAGACGCCUGUGCCUUUACAUCAGCCCAGCAAACUAGAGGGUCUGAUCCAGGAACAUCACAGAGACUCCUAUCUUGACAUAAGCUGAGUUUGGGCCAUCUUAAGCCCAAACACUUUAGCAGAGUGGAUGUGGUGGGCAAACUAUCCAUGCCCCAGUAGGCCGCUCCACUGAACUGCAAACCACAGGCUAACUGCACUUGCAAGACCCCCAAACACAGCUAUUGGGGCAGCUGGUCAACAGAAGGUCCCAGGAUCUGGUAGCAGACAAGCUGACCACCUCACAAAGAUUCCAGGAGAAGAAGGGGAGGGCAGUAGGCCACCAGGCACCCCAAGCCAGAAGACACCUAGAGGAACAGGAAUCCCAGCACCUGAGGGAGGAACCAUUAUAGGGUGAAGAAGUAGCUGCUGCCGGAGCAGCCUUGAGGGGCUCUCCUUCCACACCCGCAGCAGAACGCCUGAGCCAGAAGAGGAGAAAGAAGAGGACUUGGGAUGUUCAAUGAGAUCCCAUAUUAUGCAGGACACAGCAGGCAGCUGUAACCUUUGGCAUUUUUUUCCACUGGGAUCCAAUCUUGACCGACAUGGCUACAUCAACACUGCACGUCGCUUUCUGAAGAGUCUUAGCUCUUAAGUGUGCAAGCGUCAUGCACCUUCCCUGACCAGUCAAAGCUGAAGUCAGUAAAGUGCUGCGAAGCUGACCCUUUGCACUCAGUCACUCCUGCACACUGCAUCGUGUGCACAAGCACUCCUGGUGAGUACAAGCAGCACCAAGACAAGAAGCCAAAUAUGAACAUGCAUAAGUGACAGUUACUGCAGCAGCUUUAUACCGAUGUAACUUGUGUCAACCGAUGUUUGUAGUGUAGACAUGGCCCAACUCUUCUCAGAGCACAGCAAU